rnacentral:misc_RNA from 1 species
CUUCUCGCCUGAACUGCUUACUAUCUCACUGUGGCUUCGAGCGGGUGGGCCUGAUGAGAAUAAACCAACACGCCGGAUCGCAGGGCCAUCUGCGAGCUGCUUGAGUAUAACAUCAGCGCCCAGGAAUCCACCUUCUGCUCGUCUUCGCUUACCGAUUGCCCAUGAAAGGCCUGCCUCCACGGGUGUGACAUGCUGUUCCAUGUCAUUACCGUACAAGCAUAGGCCAGCUUCGAGGCGGAGGCUGUCACGUGCACCUAAACCAGUCAGCCUCACCUUGCCUUCGGACUUCUCAAGGAUUGCUUUUGCGAGGUCUACAGCGUCCUCUGAGGGAACCGAGAUUUCAAAUCCAUCUUCUCCGGUGUAGCCAGUUCUUGUCAGGAAACAAGGGGAGCCAUUAAUGUCCAAAGUUUUGAACUCUCCGAAGUACAUUUUGCUUAGAUCAUCUUUUGUCAGCUGUUGAAGAACCGGACCAGAAAGUGGACCCUGUAACGCAAGCAGCGACCGCUCAUCAUGAAUAUGCCAGCUAACAUCGCCCCCCUUCUUCUUGAACGCCUCCAUGUGCUCCCCAAUAUGUGCCAGAUCUUUGUCCCGACACCCAGCAUUCACAACAAGAUAUAUAUGCCCUUCCCCCACCUUUGUGAUAACCGAAUCAUCAAUCGCCCCGCCUCGCUCAUUCGUGAACACCGUCAGCGUCCCCGUCCCGGGGCUGAGGCCGGCGACAUCGGCAACGACGAG